AUGAAGGUUGGUAGAAACGGAUUCGCCGGUGAGGUUUCGAUGACAUUCGCACUGAGUCAGAAUCUUCAAGUAUGCACAUCACUCUUUACAGUUUUUCAUGUUCUUCUUCUAUUCGAUUUCUUUUUCAAUCCCUCAGAUGAGGAUGCAUUGAUAUUGAUGAAGGUGGUGAUUGAAGAGCGAAGACGGAGGAUCUACAUGGAUUGUGAUAAUGAUUGA